rnacentral:rRNA from 1 species
CUCCGGUUGAUCCUGCGGGACCCGACUGCUAUCGGAUUGAGAUUUAGCCAUGCGAGUCGAACGUCCCCCUGUUGCGGGGGGCGUGGCGUACGGCUCAGUAACACGUAGUCAACCUGCCCUGGAGACAAGGACAACCCCGGGAAACUGGGAUUAAUCCUUGAUAGGUCAUCUCAUCUGGAAGGAGAGAUGGCUUAAAGGGGUACGCGGGCUUCUUCCGCGAAUUCGCUCCAGGAUGGGACUGCGUCCAAUCAGGCUGUUGGCGGGGUAAUGGCCCACCAAACCUGUAACCGGUACGGGCCUUGAGAGAGGUGGCCCGGAGAUGGACACUGAGAGAAGGGUCCAGGUCCUACGGGGCGCAGCAGGCGCGAAACCUUCGCAAUGCGCGAAAGCGUGACGAGGUUAAUCCGAGUGAUUUCCGCUGAGGAGAUCUUUUGUCAGCUGUAAAUAGGCAGGCGAAUAAGGGGAGGGCAAGCCUGGUGUCAGCCGCCGCGGUAAUACCAGCUCCUCGAGUGGUCGGGGCGAUUAUUGGGCCUAAAGCAUCCGUAGCCGGUUCCGUAGGUCCUCUGUUAAAUCCAACCGCUUAACGGUUGACCUGCAGAGGAUACCGCGGGACUAGGAGGCGGGAGAGGCGGACGGUACUCCGCGUGUAGGGGUAAAAUCCUUUGAUCCGCGGAAGACCACCAGUGGCGAAGGCGGUCCGCCAGAACGCGCUCGACGGUGAGGGAUGAAAGCUGGGGGAGCGAACUGGAUUAGAUACCCGGGUAGUCCCAGCCGUAAACGAUGCUAGCUAGAUGAUUCAUUCGCAAGUCGCGAAUGAAGUGUCGCAGGGAAGCCGUUAAGCUAGCCGCCUGGGGAGUACGGUCGCAAGACUGAAACUUAAAGGAAUUGGCGGGGGAGCA